UACGUAGGGGGCAAGCGUUGUUCGGAAUUACUGGGCGUAAAGGGAGCGUAGGCGGAAUUGUAAGUUAGGAGUGAAAUCUACAGGCCUAACCUGUAGCUUGCUUUUAAUACUGCUUUUCUUGAGUAUGAAAGAGGGAGAUGGAAUUCCAGGUGUAGCGGUGGAAUGCGUAGAUAUCUGGAAGAACACCAGUUGUGUAGACGGUCUCCUGGUUCAAUACUGACGCUGAGGCUCGAAAGCUAGGGGAGCAAACAGG
rnacentral:rRNA from 1 species